AGUGAACGCUGGCGGCGUGCUUAACACAUGCAUGUCGAGCGAGAACGGAUUAUAGCUUGCUAGAAUUGUCAGCUAAGUGGCGCACGGGUGAGUAAUAUCUAGAUAACCUGCACUCCAGAAAGGAAUAACAGUUGGAAACGACUGCUAAUGCCCUAUAUACCUUUAAUACAUAAGUACGCAAGGGAAAAGCUGUACUGCUCGAGGAUGGGUCUGUAUGGUAUCAGCUUGUUGGUGAGGUAAUGGCUCACCAAGGCUAUGACGCCUAACUGGUUUGAGAGGAUGAUCAGUCACACUGGAACUGAGACACGGUCCAGACUCCUACGGGAGGCAGCAGUGGGGAAUAUUGCACAAUGGACGAAAGUCUGAUGCAGCAACGCCGCGUGGAGGAUGACACAUUUCGGUGCGUAAACUCCUUUUAUAUAGGAAGAUAAUGACGGUACUAUAUGAAUAAGCACCGGCUAACUCCGUGCCAGCCGCCGCGGUAACAC
rnacentral:rRNA from 1 species